rnacentral:rRNA from 1 species
UCGGCGUGGGAUGGGGUCGCGUCCUAUCAGCUUGUUGGCGGGGUGAGGGCCCACCAAGGCUUCGACGGGUAGCCGGCCUGAGAGGGCGACCGGCCACAUUGGGACUGAGAUACGGCCCAGACUCCUACGGGAGGCAGCAGUGGGGAAUAUUGCACAAUGGGCGCAAGCCUGAUGCAGCGACGCCGCGUG